rnacentral:piRNA from 1 species
UGGCCUCGAACUCAGAAAUCUGCCUGCCU